UACAAAGAGAAGCGACCUCGCGAGAGCAAGCGGACCUCAUAAAGUAUGUCGUAGUCCGGAUUGGAGUCUGCAACUCGACUCCAUGAAGUCGGAAUCGCUAGUAAUCGUAGAUCAGAAUGCUACGGUGAAUACGUUCCCGGGCCUUGUACACACCGCCCGUCACACCAUGGGAGUGGGUUGCAAAAGAAGUAGGUAGCUUAACCUUCGGGAGGGCGCUUACCACUUUGUGAUUCAUGACUGGGGUGAAGUCGUAACAAGGUAACCGUAGGGGAACCUGCGGUUGGAUCACCUCCUUACCUUAAAGAA
rnacentral:rRNA from 1 species